rnacentral:misc_RNA from 1 species
UGUUGGUUGGUGAACUUUCGAUGGAACGAGGCUUGAAAAGUCAUUAGUUGACGUGGUAGCCACGCGCCUUUCGGAACUUGCUCGUUCGCGCAGCACCGUGCACUGUGUAACCACCGACUCCUUGCCUCCACGCGCACGUAGCGCUCGCAUAGCACGACGCUUUUUAAUGCUAACCCGCCCACAUGUACUGUGCUUAUCGCACUAUUUUGCAUCGAAAGAGACAAGCGUGUGCCUUGCAGAGCUUUUCUGGUUAUUUUGCGGCUGUUUUGCAGUAGUAAUAUCGUGUUGAAUCGAGAACUCUAUGCAGUAGGGCCAGGCGGAAGGGCACUGGCUGGAGCCAUAUUGAGUGCUGAGGCCAUAUUGUGUGUAUGUGUGUGUGUUCCGCCAUUUGAACAAUCGUGGAGCGCACGGGGCCUACCGGAGUCGAAAUAUUUUGCUUCAGUCUGCUGAAUUAAUGCCCAGGGAGUACUUACGAAGAAUUGGAUUAUCACGUUGAAGAUCUCUUGGUUCCGAUGUGUUGAUUUUUGUGUGGGUAAGGCUCCAUUGGUGGUAGAAAAUGGAGACCGUGCAAAGCAAGCCACGGAACCGCACGAAGCGGAGGGAGAGAGCGCAUCAACUCAAUCAGGAAAAACAAAAUCUUGCGGAUGAAGCCCUUAGUGGGGAUGAACCGAAAGGUUCCCCUUCUCGCUCCAGCAAAGAAAAAUGUCGAGCGAAGGCGCGAAGACAGCGUAACAACUCUUCACAUUCAUUCGAAGAAGAUAUUAUUGAUGGAUUUGCGAUCAUGAGCUUCAAAACACUGGAGGAUCUGGAGAAUGCCGUGAAAAACAGCAGCCUGAAGUCUUCUCGUCCUGGCAGCAAACUCGACCACCCGGCCUCGUCGCCCACCUCCGACAGGGAAAAAGUAAAGGACGGGCGCAGCAAGAAGAAGUUGAGAAAGCAGUCGACACCUUCGCCAGUUCCGUCGCCGCGGUCUCUGGCGUUGCUGUCUGCUGGGGAGGACGACAGGACGUCGACAGACGAGCAGACGACCAACGGUCCACUGGAGCCGCCUCGCAGCAUCUCCCGCGAUCGCCUGAGUGACGCCAGCACGCAUUCAAGCUCUGGACAAGGAUAUGUUUGUGACAUAGAAAGCGGGGAUGAGAAGGCUUCCGAAUCGGGGUCGGACCUCUUCACUACAGUCAGCAACUGCGCCAGCCGUCUAGUCAACCAUGUACGACCAGUGGUUGCACUGACCCCACCAGCCACAACGGCCACUCUCUGCAAUGGGGUCGUCCCCAUGGUGACAGUCAACCCCACCACCACCACUGCUUCUCCUUCGCUCAUAUCCAGCAUCAGCAUCAGCACUACAGCCACAACCACAACUACUACAACAUCUACCACUGCCAUCCCGGCAGCAAUCGCUCCAACCACCCUAACUGUGUCAUCUGCAGCAUCAGCAAUACUGCCCUCAACAUUGCUGCCACAGACACUUCCGCCAUCAUCAAGCUUGCCACAGACAACCGGACCAAAGAACAUUCCCACUGGCGCAGCUAUUCCGAUUCGCCGGCCUACGCCUAGCUCACCGCCCCCACCAAAGGCCAUUCAGGCACCUCGUCCGCAAGCAACAAUCACCACUCCAACAAACCACGCCCAUCACCUGUCUCUGCUACGCCACCCGUGACCCUCGAGGGGACCAAGGUACCGACGCCUCGAACACCACGAAGAGAGGACCACCAUCAUCACCACCAUCACCACCACCAUUCCUCAUCCAGCAGGGAGCGGGAGCGGGAAAAGAGAACGAGAAAAAGAGCGAGAACGUGAACGAGAAAGAGAGGCAGCAUCCUCCUCAUCGUCAUCCUCAUCGCAUCAUCCAGCUGCCUCUUUUCCAGCCAGCCUUGUCUUUUCAAAGCCAGGACUUUGGGGAAGUGGGCCCUCUCCGUCACUGUACAGCCACUCAUCACACUUACCUCCAUCACCGCUUCAUUCUCUGCACUCAACUGCCUUCACCCACACCCACACCCACCCUCUACACCCACACCAUCACCCCCACGCUCACCCACAUCCAGCAGUACCCCACUCCAGUCACGGGAUGUUUGCACCCCCGAUUCCUCCUGGUCCAUCAGCACUUGCGUCCUCUGGGCUGUCUUCAGUCUCGGCUUCGUCUUUCGGGUCUGACUUACUGAGAGGACAAGACUUCCUUCAUCAAGAUUUAAACAACCGACUGUUGGCCCACAGGGGCGCAGAGACUGGUCCGCUGCCUCCUUCCACCUUUCUUCGGUCCGUAGCUGCUGCCACAGACGCAGCACAUCAUCAGCAUCAGCAUCUUCACAAUCAUCAACACAUGCAUCAGCACACCUACAACGGGCUUGGGCAGCCCUCUCUUGUGCCAACCCCUCCCCCUCACCUGUUUGACAAAAUUCCUAAGUCACCCUUCGAGUCUAGCCUGUACCGGCCAAAUCUGUUAACUGGGUAUAGUCCCGCGUUUGCAUCCCUGCUACCACCUCCAUCUGGGGCACUGGCAUCCAGUCUUCAAGGGGCAUUCCAGCCGAAAGUAUCAGUUCGUUGCCAACCAUGGACCUGUACCGGGUCGUCUGCAUGAUGCUGGCCUGGCGCAAAAA